GAUGAACGCUGGCGGCGUGCCUAAUACAUGCAAGUCGAGCGAACAGACGAGGAGCUUGCUCCUUUGACGUUAGCGGCGGACGGGUGAGUAACACGUGGAUAACCUACCUAUAAGACUGGGAUAACUUCGGGAAACCGGAGCUAAUACCGGAUAACAUGUUGAACCGCAUGGUUCAACAGUGAAAGACGGUCUUGCGGUCACGUAUAGAUGGAUCCGCGCCGCAUUAGCUAGUUGGUAAGGUAACGGCUUACUAAGGCAACGAUGCGUAGCCGACCUGAGAGGGUGGUCGGCCACACUGGAACUGGGACACGGUCCAGGCUCCUACGGGAGGCAGCAGUCGGGAAUCUUCCGCAAUGGGCGAAAGCAUGACGGAGCAACGCCGCGUGAGUGAAGAAGGUCUUCGGAUCGUAAAACUCUGUUAUUAGGGAAGAACAAAUGUCUAAGUAACUAUGCACGUCUUGACGGUAACUAAUCAGAAAGCCACGGCUAACUACGUG
rnacentral:rRNA from 1 species